AGAAGCAGGUUUUUCUUUGCUCGUAGCACAAGAGGAAGUCAGAGAAAUGGGAAGAGUGGGGGAGAGUCCUACGAGGGGGAUGUGACGCGGGGAUCCCGCCGCCCGCCGCAGGGUCGUGAGUGGGUCUGUGAGCCGGGGAAGGCAGGGCAGGGGCUGCUGGGAAACGACGGGGCUCCGAACCCGCAGCGACCUGCACCCAGGGAGCCGAGGACAGAGCUGGCCAGCGCCCCGCCGGGAGCGCCACAGCCAGAGCACAAGACCCAGUGGAGUCACGGCGACCUCCGACCUACAGACACUGUGAGUGAAUCAAGGGAUCCGGUCAUUUGUUCAUCCCACACAUACCGACUGAACGGCUGCUCGUUAUCUGAAGUUAUGACAUGGAGGGAAACCAAGUCCUUACUUUCCAGGAGUUUACCUUCCGGCCGACAGAGAUGACAAACAAUCAACAAAUAUGCAAUGUGUCCAACCGUGGCAUCAUUAGAUGGGCACAGGGGUCCGAGGCAAGAGAGCCUACCGUGAGGGUUUGCCUGGCUUCCCGGUGGGACACAGGCUGUCCUGGAC